rnacentral:rRNA from 1 species
UUCCGUAAGGGUGACCUGCGGAGGGAUCAUUACACAAAUAUGAAGGCGGGCUGGAACCUCUCGGGGUUACAGCCUUGCUGAAUUAUUCACCCUUGUCUUUUGCGUACUUCUUGUUUCCUUGGUGGGUUCGCCCACCACUAGGACAAACAUAAACCUUUUGUAAUUGCAAUCAGCGUCAGUAACAAAUUAAUAAUUACAACUUUCAACAACGGAUCUCUUGGUUCUGGCAUCGAUGAAGAACGCAGCGAAAUGCGAUAAGUAGUGUGAAUUGCAGAAUUCAGUGAAUCAUCGAAUCUUUGAACGCACAUUGCGCCCUUUGGUAUUCCAAAGGGCAUGCCUGUUCGAGCGUCAUUUGUACCCUCAAGCUUUGCUUGGUGUUGAGCGUCUUGUCUCUAGCUUUGCUGGAGACUCGCCUUAAAGUAAUUGGCAGCCGGCCUACUGGUUUCGGAGCGCAGCACAAGUCGCACUCUCUAUCAGCAAAGGUCUAGCAUCCAUUAAGCCUUUUUUUCAACUUUGACCUCGGAUCAGGUAGAUGCCCAACU